AUUGAACGCUGGCGGCAUGCCUUACACAUGCAAGUCGAACGGCAGCACGGGUGCUUGCACCUGGUGGCGAGUGGCGAACGGGUGAGUAAUACAUCGGAACGUACCUUAUCGUGGGGGAUAACGCAGCGAAAGCUGUGCUAAUACCGCAUACGCCCCGAGGGGGAAAGCGGGGGAUCGAAAGACCUCGCGCGAUUAGAGCGGCCGAUGCCUGAUUAGCUUGUUGGUGGGGUAGAAGCCCACCAAGGCGACGAUCAGUAGCUGGUCUGAGAGGACGAUCAACCACACUGGGACUGAGACACGGCCCAGACUCCUACGGGAGGCAGCAGUGGGGAAUUUUGGACAAUGGGGGCGACCCUGAUCCAGCAAUGCCGCGUGAGUGAAGAAGGCCUUCGGGUUGUAAAGCUCUUUUGUCAGGGAAGAAACACCGGCUCUAACACAGUCCGGGAAUGACGGUACCUGAAGAAUAAGCACCGGCUAACUACGUGCCAGCCGCCGCCGUAA
rnacentral:rRNA from 1 species